rnacentral:rRNA from 1 species
UACGUAGGGGGCGAGCGUUGUCCGGAUUUAUUGGGCGUAAAGAGCGUGUAGGCGGCCAGGUAGGUCUGCUGUGAAAACCUCGAGCUCACCUGAGACGUCGGCGGAAACCAUCUGGCUAGAGUCCGGAAGAGGAGAGUGGAAUUCCUGGUGUAGCGGUGAAAUGCGCAGAUAUCAGGAAGAACACCCGUGGCGAAGGCGGCUCUCUGGGACGGUACUGACGCUGAGACGCGAAAGCGUGGGGAGCGAACAGG